AGCCUGAUGCAGCGACGCCGCGUGAGGGAUGACGGCCUUCGGGUUGUAAACCUCUUUCAGCAGGGAAGAAGCCACAAGUGACGGUACCUGCAGAAGAAGCGCCGGCUAACUACGUGCCAGCAGCCGCGGUAAUACGUAGGGCGCAAGCGUUGUCCGGAAUUAUUGGGCGUAAAGAGCUCGUAGGCGGUUUGUCGCGUCUGCUGUGAAAGCCCGGGGCUUAACCCCGGGUGUGCAGUGGGUACGGGCAGACUAGAGUGCAGUAGGGGAGACUGGAAUUCCUGGUGUAGCGGUGGAAUGCGCAGAUAUCAGGAGGAACACCGAUGGCGAAGGCAGGUCUCUGGGCUGUUACUGACGCUGAGGAGCGAAAGCAUGGGGAGCGAACAGGAUUAGAUACCCUGGUAGUCCAUGCCGUAAACGUUGGGCACUAGGUGUGGGGGACAUUCCACGUUUUCCGCGCCGUAGCUAACGCAUUAAGUGCCCCGCCUGGGGAGUACGGCCGCAAGGCUAAAACUCAAAGGAAUUGACGGGGGCCCGCACAAGCGGCGGAGCAUGCGGAUUAAUUCGAUGCAACGCGAAGAACCUUACCAAGGCUUGACAUAUACCGGAUCGUUCCAGAGAU
rnacentral:rRNA from 1 species